GCUACAUAGAGGUUGUAUGCGCUUCUAUUUAGAUAAGAAAGCAAUCAAUGCAAAGAUAUCACAUUCACUCUGAAGUUGUUUGAAUUUCUGAUGAGCCAGAUUUAUAUGCCCUAUGUUCCUUGUAUUAUAAUGUUCCUUGUAGCCUGUCAGCUUUGGAGAUUUUAUUGUUCAUAUAUUGUCUAUAGGUCUAUAUGGAUAUCUCUUGCAGAAUAAUGUGAUUCAUUUUAUUUUUGAAUUUUGAACUUGAAAUGACAUUUGCAAGGGUGUGAUUGCUAAAUUUUUUUUUUCCAUCACCUAAAUAAACAUAACAGUUUUGACCAUUUUCUUUUUAAUCAUGCCUAAUUUGAUGCCAUGCAAGCAAUUUUAUUGUCAUCUCUUUUAUGGCCUUGUUGUAGAUUGAUAUUGUAAGCAUGUUCAUAUGCUCAAACGAGACAGAAGAGACCAAUCACAAUUAUAAAUUGUGCAUUUAUUAAUAUUCUAGAAAUUGUUUCCAGGAUCUGUUAGUUUAUAAAUGCUUAUGAGAUUUCUGCUUGAUUCAUGACAUAUUCACCUGGUUGGAUAUCUUUGCAUAACUAUUUUGGCUGAAAUUUUUAUAACUUUAUGUAGAGGAAGACUCCAUGGUAAUUUCAUGUGCAAAGCAGGAUUAUGAAAUUUAUAAUUGUACAAUUUUUUUUU
rnacentral:misc_RNA from 1 species